rnacentral:rRNA from 1 species
CCUACGGGUGGCAGCAGUGAGGAAUAUUGGUCAAUGGACGAGAGUCUGAACCAGCCAAGUAGCGUGAAGGAUGACUGCCCUAUGGGUUGUAAACUUCUUUUAUAUGGGAAUAAAACGUUCCACGUGUGUGAUUUUGUAUGUACCAUAUGAAUAAGGAUCGGCUAACUCCGUGCCAGCAGCCGCGGUAAUACGGAGGAUCCGAGCGUUAUCCGGAUUUAUUGGGUUUAAAGGGAGCGUAGGUGGAUUGUUAAGUCAGUUGUGAAAGUUUGCGGCUCAACCGUAAAAUUGCAGUUGAGACUGGCAGUCUUGAGUACAGUAGAGGUGGGCGGAAUGCGUGGUGUAGCGGUGAAAUGCUUAGAUAUCACGAAGAACUCCGAUUGCGAAGGCAGUUCACUGGACUGCAACUGACACUGAGGCUCGAAAGUGUGGGUAUCAAACAGGAUUAGAUACCCCUGUAGUC